CAAAGGUGAGACUGGAGAAGGUAACAGAUCAGGAGGUCUUAGGGACCACACAGCAGAAAAUUGGAGGCAGAAUGACCAUAUUUUACAGACUGGUUUGCGCCUUCGUGCCCUCAUGCCUUUACUCAGACCAUUCUCGCUCCUGGAAAUGCACUCUGGAAGUGAAGGCUGACAACAUCCUGCUGAACUUUCAGGGCUCAGUUCAGGGUUUUCCUUCGGAGUACCGGAAGCAGAAGCACUUCCUUCCACCACUCUCCUGCAACAUGCUGUAUCUACUUCUUUAAUAGGACUUAACACUCCACUGUAUUUGCACUUAACACUUUGUCGUUGCAUGUCUGUCUUCCCAGAAAACUGAAUUUUUUAAAAGCAGAAACCCAUAUUGUUUACCUUUAUGUUUCCCUAAUAGUAUCUGGCCUGCAAUAGCCCAUGUUUGUGGAAUAAACAACUUACCUUGUGACCUUGCCAGCCUGUCACAGCUCUCUCUCAGGAAGUGAGUAACACCAAACCACUGAUAUAACGGACAAAACUUCUCCUGGACAGAGAGCUGCUCAUCUGGGCAGGGACCGCCAGGAGAGCACCGGCCUACUGCAGGGUCACCCCCCUCGCCCAUGAAGCCAUGCCAAAGACCUGCCUCCUCUUCUUCCUCACCAUCUUCUGCACAGGGGUCUCAUUGGAUAUAAUUUUGGAACCAGAUACCAAAGCACUGACUGUCCUCAUUGGGGAGGCUGCUACCUUCCGUUGCAGCGUAACAGGAGGGGACCUGAAGAACUAUCAAAUAAGCUGGUAUAAGAAGAGUGAAGAUAACUCUCUGAUUUUGGUCUCCAAACUAAGCAACAAUUCUAAUGACAAUUUAGGGAAUAAUUUCAAGGUGAAAAUUGAUACUUUAAAAAGUCAAUUUAUGCUUGACAUUCAAAAAGCAACAACACAAGAUGUUGGGACUUACUACUGUGCGUCUGAUAUCCACAGUGCUGCAGCUCCGUUUCUGACCUCUUCAGAAACCCUAGGGCCAAACUGAGGCGGCAGAUCCAAUUCGAGACCACCCCGGGCUAAAAUGUGCACCACACCUGAGAUGAAGCUGCCUGAUCACUUCAACAGUAACAUCUGAUAAAAGAGGCCAGGAGUUGAAGUGGGGGCAAGGGGCUUAUCUUUGCGGUUGGUUUAGAGGGGCCUUCUUUAUCGGUUGAAGAGGGCAGAAAAGACUGUGAGGAUUUUUGUGGAGAGAUAUUGUGGGGGGAGGGGGGUUGCUGCACCUGUCUCUCACAGGCUCCUGAGGAAAGGUUGAAAAUAACAGCUUUUAAUACUGAAUAGGCCCUCUCAUUGUGGAGGCAGGCUGAGAUAAACAGAACUUUUACUAUCAUGAGUGCUAUAGCUCAUUGCAGUCUUUAUUGUGAAAGUGUUCAUGUGCAUAAGCCAGAUAAAGCAAGGAUGGUUUUCCAUUACCAUCCUAAUCAAAAUUUCCAAAGCUAUUAGAGAUAGCUUUAAUUCUUACUCUGUGAAGAAGGAUGAAUAGAGUCAUUUUCUGAAAUGUUUCCACAACUAUUGCAGGUAUUGAGUGUUUUAUAUCUUCCCUCAGCUGCCGAAGAGUCCUGGGGACCGGUAAGGGUGAGCAGGAAGGGGAAAUGCACAGGCUUCCUUCAUGCUGGUUGCUGAGAGAGAGCUUAGAGACAAAUACUUGUGGCAAUGUGGAAUUUCUGAGUUGAGCAUGGGUCAACUAAAUUAAAAAAUGUGCUUGAUUCCCGAGUCCCAAGUUGAAAUGGGUAAGCCAAGGAGGUAUGAGACUGCAGGGAGCAAAUACCUGGAGGAACCCACUGAGCAGACGAGUAGGCAGAGGGGCUUAAACAUACAAACAUUAAACCCUCAUCCAGGUAGUGCCUUCAUCCUGUUGGCUCUCUUUGUUCUGCUCAAAUAUCUAUCUGGAAUCCUCUCUCCAUUUUAACCUCUCUAAGGUUAAAAUUCGGGCAUUAGGACACAGAGUAGACAUAACCGUAAAAAUUACAACUAAAAGUCAACCCUCCUGAUACCUUCUGUUUGGACGAACGGAGGCAGGAUGGUGCACUUCCGGGUUCUUCACCACCAACUCUUCCCAUGUGUGCGAGAACGCAGCCGGGGACCCGGGAGGGUGCAGACCAACUGGGCAUGCGCCAGGUGACGUCAAUCCGAAGAGACCAAGAUUUACCUGGUCGCACCUGCGGAACGCCCCUGACACGCCCAUGCCCCACCUAUUGCCCUCCCACUCCUAGAAAAGCUGCUCUCCGCCAUUGAGCCACGCAGCCUUCUCACAGCCCCGGGGGCCUUCUUGCAGCCCCACUCCUGUCGGGAUGUCGGGACUGUGGGAAGUCUGUCCGAGAGCCCCACCGCGGGGGGACUCUGCCGGCCUCCUUUGCCGGAGGCCGACAGACUUCUCCCGCACACCUUAGGUUACCAAAAUAAACUGUGCAGUUUUGCUGUUACA
rnacentral:lncRNA from 1 species